GUGGGGAUAGCUCAGUGGUAGAGUAACUGCAUGCUUUGCAUGCAUGAGGUUCUGGGUUCAAUCCCCAGUACCUCCA
rnacentral:tRNA from 1 species